rnacentral:rRNA from 1 species
AUUGAACGCUGGCGGCAGGCCUAACACAUGCAAGUCGAACGGUAACAGGAAACAGCUUGCUGUUUCGCUGACGAGUGGCGGACGGGUGUGUAAUGUCUGGGAAACUGCCUGAUGGAGGGGGAUAACUACUGGAAACGGUAGCUAAUACCGCAUAACGUCGCAAGACCAAAGAGGGGGACCUUCGGGCCUCUUGCCAUCGGAUGUGCCCAGAUGGGAUUAGCUAGUAGGUGGGGUAACGGCUCACCUAGGCGACGAUCCCUAGCUGUACUGAGAGGAUGACCAGCCACACUGGAACUGAGACACGGUCCAGACUCCUACGGGAGGCAGCGGUGGGGAAUAUUGCACAAUGGGCGCAAGCCUGAUGCAGCCAUGCCGCGUGUAUGAAGAAGGCCUUCGGGUUGUAAAGUACUUUCAGCGGGGAUGAAGGGAGUAAAGUUAAUACCUUUGCUCAUUGACGUUACCCGCAGAAGAAGCACCGGCUAACUCCGUG